rnacentral:tRNA from 1 species
GGGGUAUUAUCAUAAUGGUAAUGUAUGUGACUUUUAAUCAUCAUUAUAUGAGUUCGAAUCUCGUAUGCCCUA